GACGAACGCUGGCGGCGUGCUUAACACAUGCAAGUCGAACGGAAAGGCCUCUUUCGGGGGGUACUCGAGUGGCGAACGGGUGAGUAACACGUGAGUAACCUGCCCUUGACUUUGGGAUAACUUCAGGAAACUGGGGCUAAUACCGGAUAGGAGCUCCUGCUGCAUGGUGGGGGUUGGAAAGUUUCGGCGGUUGGGGAUGGACUCGCGGCUUAUCAGCUUGUUGGUGGGGUAGUGGCUUACCAAGGCUUUGACGGGUAGCCGGCCUGAGAGGGUGACCGGCCACAUUGGGACUGAGAUACGGUCCAGACUCCUACGGGAGGCAGCAGUGGGGAAUAUUGCACAAUGGGUGGAAGCCUGAUGCAGCAACGCCGUGUGCGGGAUGACGGCCUUCGGGUUGUAAACCGCUUUCGCUCAUGACGAAGCUUUGUGUGACGGUAGUGGGUAAAGAAGCACCGGCUAACUACGUG
rnacentral:rRNA from 1 species